rnacentral:tRNA from 3 species
UCCGGCGUUGGGUAAUUGGCAGCCCGCCAACCUUUGGAGUUGGUUUGUCCUGGUUCGAGUCCAGGCGCCGGAACCA